UUUUUUGAGAUGGAGUCUCGCACUGUCACCCGGGCUGGAGUGCGAGUGCAGUGGUGUGAUCUUGGCUCACUGCAAGCUCCACCUUCCAGGCUCAAGCAAUUCUCCUGCCUCAGCCUCCUGAGUAGCUGGGAUUACAGGCGCCCACCACCACGCCAGGCUAAUUUUUUGUAUUUUUAGUAGAAACGGGUUUCAUUAUGUUGGCCAGGCUGGUCUUGAACGCCUGACCUCGUAUCCACCCGCCUCAGCCUCCCAAAGUGCUGGGAUUACAAGCAUGAGCCACCACGCCCAGCCCAUAAUUUAUUGAUUUUUUAAAAUUUGUCCAGCCUUCUAUCACCACGUCGAACCCAUUAGCUACAGCCAUCCCAUGAGAAGCUGAGUGGAUUCAGCCCCACCUCCUGCUCACAGACCCUGUCCGAGCACCUCAUUCGUCCCAACAGCGUCACUGCAGGACCCCCAGGACGUUGGACUGCCAGCUCCCUGGGUCUCCUCCUCUCUGGGGCAGAUCCUCAGUCCUCCCUUGACUUCACGACUAUGGCCAGAUCAUGUGUGGACUGUCCCUCUCUUUGGGUCUCCAGAGCGCUUGCAUCAAACACCCCUAACUCAGAAGUGUGCAGCCACACUGGGACUCAGAACCCAACAACAGGGACAGAAGACUCACGCCCUUGGGGUGCCCGGUCUCGUGGCAUCAGGCAUGACUUCCAGCUCCUGCGCCUUCCCCAGCAACUGCUGACUGGGGACCCAGACCGGGAGCUGAGCGACGGGCCUGGCGAGCGAAGCUCGGGGUCUCACUCAGGCACCAGCCCCUCCUUGCCCCAGGCCCUUGGCACAGCCCUAUUCAGGCAGGAGCUGCUCUUCUGGGGUAUCGCGAUCCACUUAAGGAUGAGGCAGACUUGGUGACAAGCUGGUCUGAGCAGCGCUUCCAGAGCCAGAACUGAGCCCAGUGAGAGCGCACCCUGGGGCAGCCUGGAUUCCUGGGGUGUCCCCGGCAGCCACACACAGCCAUGCACUACCCAACUGCACUCCUCUUCCUCAUCCUGGCCAAUGGGGCCCAGGCCUUUCGCAUCUGCGCCUUCAAUGCCCAGCGGCUGACGCUGGCCAAGGUGGCCAGGGAGCAGGUGAUGGACACCUUAGUUCGGAUACUGGCUCGCUGUGACAUCAUGGUGCUGCAGGAGGUGGUGGACUCUUCUGGCAGCGCCAUCCCCCUCCUGCUUCGAGA
rnacentral:lncRNA from 1 species